rnacentral:rRNA from 1 species
CAGAGGGUGCGAGCGUUAAUCGGAUUUACUGGGCGUAAAGCGUGUGUAGGUGGCUACCUAAGUCGAUUGUGAAAUCCCUGGGCUCAACCUGGGAAUUGCAGUCGAUACUGGGAAGCUAGAGUUCGGUAGAGGGUGACGGAAUUCCCGGUGUAGCGGUGAAAUGCGUAGAUAUCGGGAGGAACAUCGAUGGCGAAGGCAAUCACCUGGGCCUGGACUGACACUGUGACACGAAAGCGUGGGUAGCAAACAGGAUUAGAUACCCUGGUAGUCCACGCCGUAAACGAUGGAAACCUGACGUCGGUUUGCUCUGCGAAUCGGUGUCGUAGCUAACGCGCUAAGUUUCCCGCCUGGGGAGUACGGCCGCAAGGUUG